CCUGCUUGGGCCAGGCACAGUGGCUCACGCCUAUAAUUUCAGCACUUCGGGAGGCCUAGGUGGGCAGAUCACUUGAGGUCAGGAGUUUGAGACCAGCCUGGCCAACAUGGUGAAACCCUGUCUCUACUAAAAUUAUAAAAAUUAGCCAGGCAUGGUGGCACAUGCCUGUAAUCCUAGCUACUGGGGAGGCUGAGGCAGGAGAAUCACUUGAACAUGGGAGGUUGCAGUGAGCCAAGAUCGUGCCACCACACUCCAGCCUGGGCAACAGAGUGAGAUUCCAUCUAAAAAGAAAAAAACAAAAAAAAAACGGAAGGCCCUUGCUCGGCCUAUUCUGGGAAGAGUCCUCCAGCAGACCCAGAGAGAAAUUGUGUGGGGGGUUCUCUUAAGCAUUUCCGUACUAAACUACUCAUGGCUUUGUUGCAGGCCUCUGCAGAAAUUCAAAAUCAUACGAAUUUGAAGAACAGACAUCGUAAGGUUCACAGGAGGAUAAGCACACAGAGAGGGUCAGUUGGGGUCUAGGCAUCACAGACCCACUCCACCAGCUUUUUUUUUUUUUUAAGAGACUAGUCUCACUCUGCCGCCCAGGCUUGACUGCAGUGGCAUGAUUAUGGUUCACUGUAACCUUGAACUCCUGGUCUCAAGCGAUCCUCCCACGUCAGCUUCCUGAGUUGCUGGAAUUACGGGCACAUGCUGCCACACCUGGCUCCCCCAUCCCCUCUUCUACCAGUUCUCCACCUGCGCAAACUGGGUCUUCUUUAACUCUCAUUUUUUUAAGACAGAAUACUUGUCCAGUAAUCCAUUUAUCCAUUCACUAUUUAUUUAGUGAGUCCCAGACACUGUGCUAAACAUCAGGGAUGCAACCAUGACAUGACAUAUGUUCCUGUCCGCAAUGAGCCUGCAGUGUGCUGGAGAUCUCGAUGACUGCACCACAGGUAAAAUGAACAAUCGGUUAUUCUCCCUUUCCUGGCAGAGGAGUUUCUUUGAAAUUUAUCAUCAGAAAAUCCACUCAACAACCAGUUCAAUCUACAUAAGAAAGAUAAGAUGUAAUCAAACUACCCCCCAAAUUGUCUAAAGACCAGAAUGAAAAGAAGAUCUCAGCAUAUCCACUGUGGCUACUAGGCCAUAUUAAACAUCAAUUUUUGAUUUUCCGGAAUGAGAAGAAAGGUUGAAUCAUCAAAGAUGACUAUGGGGGCUUGCACUAAGAGUCUACAAAGUCUUCAUUAUUGGAAAGUUUCUAAGAGAUACAAAACCGGAAGAUAUGCUCUUUGGUUGUAUUCUCUAAAAGCAAACCCUUAGGAAAGGGUUCAGGUGAAAGCAAUUCAUCUGGGGAGGAAAUCCCAGGCAAGACAAUGAAGAAGUCAGAGAAUGAGACUAGGAAAUGAGGAAAGGUAAUAUAGAAAAUGUGAAUGAGCAGGUUGCUGCUGUGGGCAUCGGGGUCUCAUUUUUGCAGAAGACUCUUUGAGAGACUACAUAGAACAAUCCUUACAAUCGGCCCAACAAAGCAUAAGGAAGCAGGGUAUUUAUCCACCAACUCAUGAUGUGAUGGCUGUUCUUGGGGAUUUAACUCUCCACUUCAGGCCUGGCCCUCCGUCAUGUUAGCCACGCAGGCUCUUAUGGGCCACAGAAAGACCUCAAGAGUUCAGAAGCCAGCUGCAUGCAAGGGAAUGGUACAAAAACUUCAGAUGACAUCCUGCAUAGGCCAAAGGAAUCUGCCAACAACAUCUGUCAAAGCUAUCUACAAUACAGUACGUUGUAUCAUGUUUUCCCAAGCAUGAGACAAGUACCACCAGUGGUUCAGGAGAUGAUUUUAGGUGGUUCUGGGUCAUGGAAUUAAAUAACAUUGAAUUACAUGGUUGGGGAGUUCUUUUCUUUUCACUUCUCUCUCAAUCCUUCUGACUAUCCAAAGACAACCUCUCUUUUUGGUACUAAUUAUGGCUUUAUUAUACCUCCAAUCCUUGCAAGCUUCCAGUUUAAGCAGAGAGUCAGCCUUGGGCCCCAGAUAUUUACUGACAACCACAUUUGGCCAAAAUGUGCUGACAUGUUCCUCUUUUCAUUGUAUUUACAUUUCCAAUUACCUUCAAUCCAUGGCAAGUGGUAUUAUUUCUUCAUUACUAGCAACAAUGCAAAGUUUGCUUUUUGAAUAAAUUUAUUUCAUCUUUUAAGUCAGCCAAUUUAAAG
rnacentral:lncRNA from 10 species